rfam:Triticum aestivum genome assembly, contig: Triticum_aestivum_CS42_TGACv1_scaffold_225079_3B
AAAGUACUCCCUCAUUUCGCAAAUACUUGUCGGAGAAAUGGAUGUAUGUAGACGUAUUUUAGUUCUAGAUACGUCUAUAAUUACCCAUUUCUCCGACAAGUAUUUUCGGACGGAGGGAGUACAUC